UGAUCACCCAUGCUGUCCACAAUCACAGGACUACUAAUUGGGGGUGUGGUGUGGGCUAGAGCUCAUCUUUCUACUAAGAAAUUGGAUGAUGACAUCCACCAAGUAUUUUUCAGCAAAUUUAUGAGAUGAAAAACCAGAAAGAGCCACCUCAUAGAUCUACUUUGAAGUGAGAGAGAAAAUAAAGAAGGAAAACUCCAAGACAGGAACUGCAAGCCCUGCUCUCAUCCUCUGAACAAACCUGGCUAGCCUGCAGGAGCAAGGGAGACCACUCGGUCAGAUUACCCCUACUGCCCUGCCAAGAGAUAACCACAUACCAUACGUGCAAGUUAGAUGAUUCUACGCCAACUGGACUCCAGCUGACCCAUGUCCUGACUCAGUCACUCAAGAUCAGCCAAGCCAGAUCAGCAGAACCGCCCCAUGGCCCUGUAGGCCCAUCAGCACUGAUAAAUGAUACUUACAUUCAGCCACAAUGUUUUGAGAUGAUUCAUUGGGCAAUGAAGCUUACCGAUAAGUAUCUCAAUGUUUUUCAAAACCCUUCUCUUGCCUUUAGAGAGCUAAUGUAGGAAAUACGCUGUUUUUUUGUAAUGGAAUGUUUGCCUGAUAUUCAGCACAUCCAAUUAUCAUUUUCUCUCAGUAGUCAUGGAGGAUAGGUUCCAGGACCACCUGUGAAUACCAAACCCUGUGACAUCUAAAGCUCUCAUAUAAAAUGGCAUAGGUUUGCAUGAAACAUUUGCAGUGUCUCUGUAUACAUUAAAUCAUCUCUAGAAUACUUAUGAUACUUAAUACAAAGUAAAUUCUAUGUAAAUACCUGUUAUAUUGUGUUGUUUAGGGAAUAACAAAAAGUCUGUAUAUGUUCAGUAAACAUAAUGCUUUUUUGAAUAGUUUUGAUCCAUAGAUGGUUAAAUCCACAAAGGAUACAGCGGGCCAACUGUAUACUUUACUUACAUUUUCUUCAGUUAAAAUUUAAUAUUUUUAAUUAAAAAUAGCACUGAAUACAUUUUAUUUACAUUUUCACUGUGAAAACUGAUUCCAUUUCAUCCCAAUUUUACCAACUUAUCUAUCUUUAACUUUAUAUACAUAUGGAGGGACUCCAGGAGAAAUUUUCACCAAAUCUUAAUACAUAGUUGUUCUUUCCCAGGAGCAAGAUAUUGUAUAAAUUUUGCCUUGUUCUUUGUAGUUUUCUGUAUUGUUGGAUUUUAUGUUAACGGA